UACUGCUCAGUAACACGUGGAGAACGUGCCCUUAAGUGGGGGAUAAUCUCGGGAAAUUGAGGAUAAUACCCCAUAGGUCAUGGGAUCUGGAAUGACCCAUGGCUGAAAGUUCCGGCGCUUAAGGAUCGCUCUGCGGCCUAUCAGGUAGUAGUGGGUGUAACGUACCCCCUAGCCUACGACGGGUAUGGGCCUUGAGAGAGGGAGCCCAGAGUUGGAUUCUGAGACACGAAUCCAGGCCCUACGGGGCGCAGCAGUCGCGAAAACUUCACACUGGGGGGAACCCCGAUGAGGGAAUUCCUAGUGCUUGGGCAUUUGUCCAAGCUUUUCCCGAGCGUAGAUAACUCGGGGAAUAAGGGCUGGGUAAGACGGGUGCCAGCCGCCGCGGUAAUACCUGCAGCCCGAGUGGUGGUCGAUUUUAUUGAGUCUAAAGCGUUCGUAGCCGGUCCGUUAAAUCCUUGGGUAAAUCGGGAAGCUCAACUUUCCGACUUCCGAGGAGACUGGCGGACUUGGGACCGGGAGAGGCCAGAGGUACUUCUGGGGUAGGGGUAAAAUCCUGUAAUCCUAGAAGGACCACCGGUGGCGAAGGCGUCUGGCUAGAACGGAUCCGACGGUGAGGGACGAAGCCCUGGGUCGCAAACGGGAUUAGAUACCCCGGUAGUCCAGGGUGUAAACGCUGCCGACUUGGUGUUGGGGGCCCUUCGGGGGAACUCAGUGCCGGAGAGAAGUUGUUAAGUCGGCCACUUGGGGAGUACGUCCGCAAGGAUGAAACUUAAAGGAAUUGGCGGGGGAGCACAAUCUCCCUUGGUUC
rnacentral:rRNA from 1 species